GAUGAACGCUAGCGGGAGGCCUAACACAUGCAAGCCGAGCGGUAUUUGUUCUUCGGAGCGGAGAGAGCGGCGCACGGGUGCGGAACACGUGUGCAACCUGCCUUUAUCUGGGGGAUAGCCUUUCGAAAGGAAGAUUAAUACCCCAUAAUAUAUUGAGUGGCAUCCCUUGAGAUUGAAAACUGCGGUGGAUAGAGAUGGGCACGCGGCUGAUUAGCUAGUUGGUGAGGUAACGGCUUACCAAGGCAUUGAUGGUUAGGGGGCCUGAGAGGGUGACAGGCCACAUUGGGAAUGAGAUACGGCCCAGACUCCUACGGGAGGCAGCAGUGGGGAAUAUUGCACAAUGGGCGGAAGCCUGAUGCAGCAACGCCGCGUGCGGGAUGACGGCCUUCGGGUUGUAAACCGCUUUCGCCUGUGACGAAGCGUGAGUGACGGUAAUGGGUAAAGAAGCACCGGCUAACUACGUG
rnacentral:rRNA from 1 species